GCCGGGCUUGGUGGUGAAUACCUGUAAUCCCGGCUUGGGAGGCUGAGACAGGAAGAUCGCAGGUUCAAAGCCAGCCUCAGCAAUGGUGAGGCACUAAACAACUCAGUGAGGCCCUGUCUCUA
rnacentral:sRNA from 1 species